ACCCUGGCGGAAUGCUUACACAUGCAGUCGAACGGCAGACACCGACUUCGCGUCUGGUGGCGAGUGGCGAACGGGUGAGUAAUUGCAUCGUGAACGUGCCCAAUCGUGGUGCGUGAUAACGUAUCGAAAGUUACUGCUAAUACCUGCCUACAGAUCUAACGCGAUGAAGAGCGUGCGGAUCGCAUGACCUCGCUGCGAAGUGGAGCGAGUCCAGACUGCUUAGAUUAAGUGCUAGUUAGGUGGGGUAAAGUGCUCACCAAGCCGAGCGAUCUAUAGCUAGGUCUGACAGGAUGAUCAGCCACACUGGGAGCUGAGACACCGCCCACCACUCCUACGGGAGGCAGCACUGGGGAAUUCUGGACAAUGGGCGAACAGCCUGAUCCAUGCCAUUCCGCGUGCAUGAUGAAUGGCCCUCGUGUGCUUGUAAACUGCUUUCUGUACGGAACGAAAGAAGUCGUUAUAUUUAAUAAAGCAAGGCUUAUGACGCGUACCGUAAGCAAUAAUGCACCGGCUAACUACUGUGUCCAGUCAGCCGCGGUAAUACGUAGGGUGCAAGCGUUCAAUCGGAAUUACUGGGCGUAAAGCGUGCGUCAUGGCGGUGAUGUAACGACAGAGGUGAAAUCCCCGUGGCUCAACCUGGGAACUGCCUU
rnacentral:rRNA from 1 species